GUCUAUAUCGAUUAGUGGUUAAAUCACCUCGUUGUGGUCAUCUAGCAACUGCCCGAGGAGCCGCCUGUUCGAUCCAGGCUAUGGACA